GUCCUGGUUCAGUCGGUUGAGCACGAGACUCUUAAUCUCAGGGUUGCGAGUUCGAGUUCCAUGUUGGGCA